rfam:Homo sapiens chromosome 19, GRCh38 reference primary assembly.
GCUGGGCAUGGUGGUGCAUGCCUGUAAUCUCAGCUUCUUGGGAGGCUGAGGUGGGAGGAUUGCUUGAGCCCGGGAGGUCGAGGCUGCAGUGAUCUGUGAUGGCACCACUGCACUCCAGCCUGGGCGACAGAGUGAGUGCCUGUCUCAA